UCCUUAGAUGUUCUGGGCCGCACGCGUGCUACACUGAGUGGAUCAGCGGGUCAGGUUGCGCGAAAGCGUUUCCUAAUCUUUAAAUCCGCUCGUGAUGGGGAUUGACGGUUGCAAUUUUCUGUCAUGAACGAGGAAUACCUUGUAAGCGCGGGUCAUCAUCCCGCGCUGAUUACGUCCCUGCCCUUUGUACACACCGCCCGUCGCUCCUACCGAUUUUGAGUGAUCCGGUGAACCUUUUGGACUGCGGUGUCUUCAUGGCACUCGUGGGAAGUUAAGUAAACCUUAUCACUUAGAGGAAGGAGAAGUCGUAACA
rnacentral:rRNA from 1 species